AAGCGCGUGUAGGCGGUUUGUUAAGUCUGAUGUGAAAGCCCCGGGCUCAACCUGGGAAGUGCAUUGGAAACUGGCAAACUUGAGUACGGGAGAGGGAAGUGGAAUUUCGAGUGUAGGGGUGAAAUCCGUAGAUAUUCGAAGGAACACCAGUGGCGAAGGCGGCUUCCUGGACCGAUACUGACGCUGAGACGCGAAAGCGUGGGGAGCAAACAGGAUUAGAUACCCCAGUAGUCAACG
rnacentral:rRNA from 1 species